AAAAAAUUAAUUAAUUACA
rnacentral:tRNA from 1 species